rnacentral:rRNA from 1 species
GUCACACGGAACUGCCGGUCAUAAACCGGAGGAAGGUGGGGAUGACGUCAAGUCAGCAUGGCCUUUAUAUCCUGGGCUACACACACGCUACAAUGGGAAGGGACAAUAGGUUGCGAAGCCGCGAGGCGGAGCCAAUCCAGCAAAACUUCCCUCAGUUCAGAUUGCAGGCUGCAACCCGCCUGCAUGAAGUUGGAGUUGCUAGUAAACGCAGGUCAGCCAUACUGCGUUGAAUACGUUCCCGGGGCUU